AAAGAGAACUUGCAGUGCACUGAACUCGAAGCGCCAUUAAACGCGAAGAAGAAGAAGGAAGGGCUCGUUCCCGCUGCAUGAACGGGAGCUCGCGGCUGCGUCGGGCGUCAAUCUCGCCGAUCCAUUGAACGGUCCGGUCCUGCGCUCCGCGAUUGCUCGCCGCAAAUGGCGGAUCGGAGAUCGUUUCUCAGCGAGGGAGCGGUGACCUACGCCUACCUCCUCCUCUACAUCGCCCUCUCCAGCGGCCAGAUCUUCUUCAACAAGUGGGUUCUGUCAUCAAAGGAGAUCAACUUCCCAUAUCCUCUUGGGUUGACUCUACUUCACAUGGUCUUCUCCUCUGUCCUGUGUUUUCUGCUUACAAAAGUUUUCAAGAUAAUGAAGGUGGAAGAAGGGAUGACGCUAGAAAUAUAUACUACCUCAGUGAUCCCGAUUGGUGCAAUGUUCGCAAUGACCCUUUGGCUGGGGAACACUGCCUACCUUUACAUUUCUGUUGCAUUUGCACAGAUGUUGAAGGCGAUCAUGCCAGUAGCUGUUUUCAUUCUUGGAGUGGCAGCAGGACUUGAAGUGAUGAGCUGCAGAAUGCUUUUGAUUAUGUCAGUGAUAAGUUUUGGAGUCUUAGUUGCAUCUUAUGGGGAAAUAAACAUAAGCUGGAUUGGUGUUGUUUACCAGAUGGGUGGUGUCGUUGGGGAAGCUUUGAGACUUAUUUUCAUGGAGAUUCUGGUAAAGAGGAAAGGACUCAAGUUAAAUCCCAUAUCUCUUAUGUAUUAUGUGAGCCCCUGCAGUGCGAUUUGCCUAUUUAUCCCUUGGAUCUUUCUAGAGAAGCCCAAGAUGGAUGCUCGUGGAACAUGGGACUUUCAUGCCCUUAUUUUGACACUCAACUCUCUAUGUACCUUUGCACUCAAUUUGUCAGUUUUCCUGGUGAUAACUCAUACAAGUGCUCUGACCAUACGUGUUGCGGGCGUUGUCAAAGAUUGGGUGGUGGUGUUACUGUCUGCCCUUCUCUUUGCCGAUACAAAGCUCACAUUGAUAAAUCUUUUCGGUUAUGGCAUUGAAAUUAAAAUUGCAGCCAUUGCUGGUGUAGCAGCAUAUAACAACCAUAAGUUAAAGAAAGAAGCUUCUCGAGGCAGCUCCGAUGACAAGCAACGUACUGAAUCUAUGCAAUUGACAUCGUCAUCAUCAUUGGCUUCUGAGAAGUAGAAACAAACAAUUCAGAGGACACCCCAGAUUCCUUGGGAUUAAGAUUGAAGUUCUCUACAAAAAUGAGUUGGACAUUAGUUUUCUUUUCAAGAUAAAAUAGGAGGAAAAAGAAGAGUCUUCACAAACUUGAUGUUGGCAAGUUCCAAGAUUCGUGGUUCAGAGCUGCUUCUAGAGAAUUCUUUUUGUUAUAGUGGAGCAGAACCGACCCGUGAAGCGGAGAAAAUGAUCCCUAGAGGCAUGGCGAGCCCACCAACUGUAUCAUCGCAUGAAGAAAAUUAUACUGAUUCUUUUUUCACUGUUUUUAAAAUGUUUCAUAUGUCACACCAUGAUUUGUUUGUAGAUUGAAACUGCGGAGGAAAUGGUCCGUAAAUCAUGAAAGAUUUGUGAGGUCUCACCGUAUGCAAUUUAAUGUCCAGAACACUUGAUAGGAUGAUAACAUGAUGUAUGUAGAUGCCGCAGUUGCAACUGAAUUAAGUUAAUAUGCAUAAUUAGUGAUGUGAAAACCAGAGAAUGGUUUCUGAA